rnacentral:rRNA from 1 species
GGGGUGGGGGCGGCGGUGGCUGGAGGAGUAGCGGGGGUCACGGCCGCUAGGAGGGAAGGUGGUGGGGAGGACAGGCUCAGCGGGGGAGCGCUUGUUUAGAGCGCUCGGUUAAGGGGAGGGGAGGGGCGUGGGGGUGCGCGCGCUAGGUCCGCCUCCACGGGGCUGGGCCCAACGUUCCUGCCGUGCGAGGUCGGCCUCCGCACGGCCCUGCACUAGGGUUGCGGCGACAAGGUCGCCACCCCGCGGCGCGAGACGCUGUACCGCGAGCUCCCCGAGUUCAAGAUGACGGGGAAGUUGCUGACGAGCUGCGACGACCAGCUGUUGGUGGUCCUGCCCCUGCGCCACUAUUCCCUGCACCUCACGGGGGUGACGAGGGCGUACAAGACGCGGGUCAAGUUCCACGGCACCGUGCUGCCGCAGCUGACGUGGCUCAAGGUCGCCGAGCCGUUCCUGCUCGCACCCGCCCUCCUGGACGACGACUCCUUCCAGCGCGUCCUCUCGUUCACCGCCUCUACGCGGUUCACGUUCUACAUGCAGCUCUCCCACCUUCCGACACACAUGUAACAGACGUCCACGCCGGUGGUGAAGACGAUGGAGACGCCGAGACGCUACCGCUUCCCGUUGGUAGCAACGUCGUUUACGUUCGCAUGCACCACUAACCACUUACCAGACGUCUACGGGCCGCGAUGAAGUCCCUUCGUUCAAGUAGUAUAGACUCAGCGUUGAGUAAAUCACCAUACGAGUGUAGGCAACUCACGAACCUCGUUCCUCUUUCGAGCUUUACGCUUAGUAUUCAGCUUUAGCACACGGAUAUUUUAGGAAUACACAGAAACUUAACAAAAAAUCAUCAGUAGAAACAAUGAGAAAGACAAGUCUCUUUUUUUAUCUACUACGGAUGUCGUCCAGCGAAACAGUAAUCGUGGAGAGGAAACGAACCAUCGAGGUCAGGUUAAAAAGACGUGGGACUAUAGACAAAGCUACAACAGACAAUAGCCGUAAAAAUAAACAUCUUUGGACCAACUACAUUCUUCAAUGUUCAUCAGGUCAUGAAUAUAAAUACAUACAGGCAUGUACACUUGAGUAGGGAAGAUAUAUGUAUACAAAGUUUUAGUGAAAAAUGAACCGUAAAACAAAGAAACGAGACAUGUUACAAGACACAACAUGUAACAAAAAAAGGAAACGGAUUAAUAUGAUGUCUGGAGAUGUACGAGGAACACAACGGACAGAUUUAUACAUACAAACGGAAAAAACAAAAGUUUACUGUUUCGCGUAGAGUUCGAUCAGAGACAAAUGUUUGACCCGAAACAUAUCAAGGACAAGUAAGUUGAUGUGUGUCAAAAGUCGACCUAGAGAAACUAAGUAGUAGUAAAAAGAUCCUUACCUUGUUUCUAUGUAAGCCUGUUAAAAAUAAGACAUUACGUGACGUUGUAAGUAUACAAGAUAUUUUGGACUUUAUUAAACCGCGACGUCGAACCUAUAACAAAGUUUAAUAUUUUCGACUGAUAAGGGUUAUUAUGUGGUUUAUUAAAACGUCCUUGUUUACGACACACUUCGCUUAUUCACGGAAACUUCUUUUCAUUCAAGUGGAGAGGCAUGUUUAAUGGGACGACUUAACAAAAUAGAAGUUUUCUUUAUUUGGACCAAUACCAACCACAAACGUGGGUGAGCGGACUUGAAUUCAUGACGUGCCCCGUACGUAGACCAAGAGAACAAAACUUCGAUUUCGGUAAAACAUGAAUGAAAACUUACAUGUGUAUAUUCACAGCAGGCUGUCAACGAAGAAGACGUAUACGAACGUUGGUGUCCGCGUUUUUCCUGGUAUAUGUAUGGACAGAGAGGUUUUUCUCAUUGUUCGCAUGAUUACGAAAUUUCCGGUUUGUCUUUAGUCAAUCGUACAUACAUAGUCAUAUAUGUCGAAAACAUGUGAACAACAAACGUAUAAAUCAAGACAAGAUAUGAUAACUAUUGAUAGGACAGUUAUGUACGAACAAGACAUUGAACAACAGAACUAACAAGUUUACUAUUAAUUCAACACAAGCUAACUACAGGACGAUCGACGAUGAUAAUUAAAAAUGACGGUACUACAACUAUGAAGAAUCUUAUACAAGUCACGGAAUUAAGAUCAUCAUAAACAAUAGCUUUUGUACUAACAUAACACUCGGUAGUUCAAGAACCUCAGAAGAAUCUCGAACGUCCAUAAAUGGAAAAAGGUGGUUAUAUUAUAAACAAUGAUAAAUGAGUACCAACGAUGACAAUAGGUACGGGAGUACGAAGUCCUAGCUGAGGAUCGACGAACACAUAGAUAAAUAAUAAGACAAGUAAUAAAAAAAGGAUCGACAAGAGACAAUCUUCCAUAACGAAAGCAAGACUUAACCGUCGGUACUAUUGCUAGUAAAAGUAAGAAGAUGCCCUCGAGAUCCAACUUCUUCAAUUUUCUUCCCUUGCGAAGUAGAAACAUCGAUCAAAAUACAAGGACACACAAAAUACAAGGACCCACAACAUGAAGUAUCGCCGUGAAGGACCCACAAGGUACCACAAGAUUUAAGGACCUACUACACUUGAUACCGUACUAACAUUA